rnacentral:rRNA from 1 species
UUCGCAAUGCCCGAAAGGGUGACGAAGCGACGCCGCGUGUGGGAAGAAGGCCUUCGGGUUGUAAACCACUGUCGGGAGUUAGGAAAUGUAAGGGUGCUAAUAGUAUCCUUACUUGACUAAGGCUCCGGAGGAAGCCACGGCUAACUCUGUGCCAGCAGCCGCGGUAAUACAGAGGCGGCAAGCGUUGUUCGGAAUUAUUGGGCGUAAAGAGCACGUAGGCGGCCUUGUAAGUCAGUUGUGAAAGCCUUCUGCUUAACGGAAGAACAGCAGCUGAUACUGCAAGGCUAGAGUGCGGAAGGGGAGAGUGGAACUUCUGGUGGAGCGGUGAAAUGCGUAGAUAUCAGAAGGAACACCGGCGGCGAAGGCGACUCUCUGGUCCGUAACUGACGCUGAGUGUGCGGAAGCUAGGGGAGCAAACGGGAUUAGAUACCCCGGUAGUCCUAGCCGUAAAC